GGGGGUGUAGCUCAUUGUAGAGCCCUUGCCUUACAUGUAUGAGGCCCUGGGUUCAAUUCCCCCCACCCA
rnacentral:tRNA from 1 species